AAACUCUUUACAGAAGUUCAAUGUUUGCUCUGAGAAGUUGAAUGAACAAAUUUAUUAAAUGAUAAAGUUGUAUCCUUGAAAGAUAUGCUGGUAUUAUUGGCACAAUGGACAAGCAUUGAGGUGCAACUUGGUGAAAUACAAAACACAUCAAAUUCAGUUAUAAAAAUUUGAGUAACAAAGGUCAAUUAUUUGGCACAAUUUGGAGUUAAAGACAAAGGAGAUUGUAUAUGUUAUUUACUAAGAAUUGUU